UAAUGUUAGAUAAAUGGGCUGUGUUGAUAUCUUCUCUCUUGUUUGACUCUGAUAGGCGUACACCUGUCACGUGGUUCCCUUAUCAGUCAGAAAGCAUCAAGUACACGUUGCAUCCAAAACAAAAGUGAAAGUGUUUUUGUUUGUGCGCAGACGGGGAGCAGUUCAGCCUGAGAGAGAGGAAUGACAGAGACAUUAGAAACAAAUUAUCAAUCUAUUCCGUAAGUAGGCACUGUUCAAAAUAUCAUCUUUGAGGCUGUUUACGGCUGAAUGUCUACAACGCAGCGGAGUUAUAGAGAUUAUAAUCCACUAAGGAACAUGGACCAGGAAGGGGCCACCCUUUCUGGGACAAAGUUCUAUGUCUCGGUGUCGGGAACAACACAUGGGGCUCAUGUUCCUUGGGUCAAACAAUUCAGAGGCAUGGGCCACACCGAGGUCCAAUCUGAAGGUGAAAGUAACUACAUUCUGCUGUUCUGUCCCAUCGUGUCCCGAGUUGGAACAGACAUCAGUGAGGCUCUGGAAAACAUUCAACAUAGUAACAAAGCAGUUAUUCUGGUGGUCAUGCAUCACACCUUCAACGCUGACUACUUGUUGGCUGAAAGCAGACGGCUGGUCAACAACCCAAACGUCUGCCUGGUUGUGGACUGUCUGUUCCACGAGGGACGGCUCCUCAACUGUAACCGUAAUGACAUUGCAUGGUUUGAGAUCAAGAAGUUUUUUGGAGCUGCUUCUCUACCUGCUCAGGUUUCUGUCAGGGACAACAUUCGAAAAUUUUCUGGGACAAAGUUCUAUGUCUCGGUGUCGGGAACAACACAUGGGGCUCAUGUUCCUUGGGUCAAACAAUUCAGAGGCAUGGGCCACACCGAGGUCCAAUCUGAAGGUGAAAGUAACUACAUUCUGCUGUUCUGUCCCAUCGUGUCCCGAGUUGGAACAGACAUCAGUGAGGCUCUGGAAAACAUUCGACAUAGUAACAAAGCAGUUAUUCUGGUGGUCAUGCAUCACACCUUCAACGCUGACUACUUGUUGGCUGAAAGCAGACGGCUGGUCAACAACCCAAACGUCUGCCUGGUUGUGGACUGUCUGUUCCACGAGGGACGGCUCCUCAACUGUAACCGUAAUGGCAUUGCAUGGUUUGAGAUCAAGAAGUUUUUUGGAGCUGCUUCUCUACCUGCUCAGGUUUCUGUCAGGGACAACAUUCGAAAAUUUUCUGGGACAAAGUUCUAUGUCUCGGUGUCGGGAACAACACAUGGGGCUCAUGUUCCUUGGGUCAAACAAUUCAGAGGCAUGGGCCACACCAAGGUCCAAUCUGAAGGUGAAAGUAACUACAUUCUGCUGUUCUGUCCCAUCGUGUCCCGAGUUGGAACAGACAUCAGAGAGGCUCUGGAAAACAUUCGACAUAGUAACAAAGCAGUUAUUCUGGUGGUCAUGCAUCACACCUUCAACGCUGACUACGUGUUGGCUGAAAGCAGACGGCUGGUCAACAACCCAAACGUCUGCCUGGUUGUGGACUGUCUGUUCCACGAGGGACGGCUCCUCAACUGUAACCGUAAUGACAUUGCAUGGUUUGAGAUCGAGAAGUUUCUUGGAGUUGCUUCUCCACCUGCUCUGAUCCAUUUCCCGUCCCCCAUUUGUAGCCUUUCCUGACUCAUUUGCAGUUGGAUGUGACUUUCUCGCUCCAUGUCCUAUUGUUUACGGCUUUUCUGGGUGGAGCCAAGGGAAGAUCUGUUGUUUUGCCCUCGGGAUUAUACUCGUGGGGGUACUGAUCAUUCUGUUAACCGUGCUUUCUAUCCUGAAUAAGUAAAGUCGAGUAAAGGCCGUCACUAACCGAGAGUUAACCAUCUGUUUACUCUCACAAUCGAUUAACCUUGAAGUAUUAGGGUGACACAUUAAUGAGUAAUGUAAUGCAUGUGAAUCAUCUUAAGAAUAUAUAAUUACAGCUGGAUAUUAAUGUAUUGCUGUAGUGAAGUUUAUUGGAUAAUACAGAUGUUAAAGUUUGUAAUCUUUCGAUCACUAAUCUUUUAUGGGAAGAGAAAUAAAGAAUGCUGUAACCACCUUCUCCAGUCCACUUGUGCCGACAGGGAGGAGGUUCACUUGUGUUGUAAGGUUGUUUGUUUCCUUCAGCAGUUGGGUUUUUAAAUAAACUGUAGGCAUUGCUGCCUGUACACUUUCA